AGGUCACACACCAUUGUCUGGCUGAUUUAUCUGAUAUGUCCAGUCCGUCUGAUUUGCUUCUGCGGCUAUCUGUGAUCAAGAGCGUGACCAGGCUUAGAGGCAUCUACCUAGAAUCUAUUUUUGUCAGCCAGCCUAUGUGCCUCCGUGGAGGUUCCGAAUAUGUCAAGUGAUUAUGGCCAUAUGAUUUAAACUUUAAGUUUUGUUUUCGUGUUUGGUUGAACAAGUCUUGCGUAUUUUGUAAAUAGGGCUAAGUCCCUUUUUGUCUAAUUUGUUUAUAUAUAAUGACUUAAAGA